rnacentral:rRNA from 1 species
CCUACGGGUGGCAGCAGUGGGGAAUAUUGGGCAAUGGGCGCAAGCCUGACCCAGCAACGCCGCGUGAAGGAAGAAGGCUUUCGGGUUGUAAACUUCUUUUGUCAGGGACGAAGCAAGUGACGGUACCUGACGAAUAAGCCACGGCUAACUACGUGCCAGCAGCCGCGGUAAUACGUAGGUGGCAAGCGUUAUCCGGAUUUACUGGGUGUAAAGGGCGUGUAGGCGGGACUGCAAGUCAGAUGUGAAAACCACGGGGUCAACCGGUGACCUGCAUUUGAAACGGGAGUUCUUGAGGACUGGAGAGGACGAAGGAAGUCCGGGUGGAGCGGGGAAAGGCGUAGAUAUUAGGAGGAACACCAGGGGCGAAGGCGGGCGGCUGGACAGCAAAUGACGCUGAGGCGCGAAAGCGUGGGGAGCAAACAGGAUUAGAUACCCCAGUAGUC